GAGUUUGAUCCUGGCUCAGGACGAACGCUGGCGGCGCGCCUAACACAUGCAAGUCGAACGAGCGAGAGAGAGCUUGCUUUCUCAAGCGAGUGGCGAACGGGUGAGUAACGCGUGAGGAACCUGCCUCAAAGAGGGGGACAACAGUUGGAAACGACUGCUAAUACCGCAUAAGCCCACAGCUCGGCAUCGAGCAGAGGGAAAAGGAGCAAUCCGCUUUGAGAUGGCCUCGCGUCCGAUUAGCUAGUUGGUGAGGUAAUGGCCCACCAAGGCGACGAUCGGUAGCCGGACUGAGAGGUUGAACGGCCACAUUGGGACUGAGACACGGCCCAGACUCCUACGGGAGGCAGCAGUGGGGAAUAUUGCACAAUGGGGGAAACCCUGAUGCAGCGACGCCGCGUGGAGGAAGAAGGUCUUCGGAUUGUAAACUCCUGUUGUUGAGGAAGAUAAUGACGGUACUCAACAAGGAAGUGACGGCUAACUACGUGCCAGCAGCCGCGGUAAAACGUAGGUCACAAGCGUUGUCCGGAAUUACUGGGUGUAAAGGGAGCGCAGGCGGGAAGACAAGUUGGAAGUGAAAUCUAUGGGCUCAACCCAUAAACUGCUUUCAAAACUGUUUUUCUUGAGUAGUGCAGAGGUAGGCGGAAUUCCCGGUGUAGCGGUGGAAUGCGUAGAUAUCGGGAGGAACACCAGUGGCGAAGGCGGGCUACUGGGCACCAACUGACGCUGAGGCUCGAAAGUGUGGGUAGCAAACAGGAUUAGAUACCUGGUAGUCCACACCGUAAACGAUGAUUACUAGGUGUUGGAGGAUUGACCCCUUCAGUGCCGCAGUUAACACAAUAAGUAAUCCACCUGGGGAGUACGACCGCAAGGUUGAAACUCAAAGGAAUUGACGGGGGCCCGCACAAGCAGUGGAGUAUGUGGUUUAAUUCGACGCAACGCGAAGAACCUUACCAAGUCUUGACAUCCUGCGACGCACAUAGAAAUAUGUGUUUCCUUCGGGACGCAGAGACAGGUGGUGCAUGGUUGUCGUCAGCUCGUGUCGUGAGAUGUUGGGUUAAGUCCCGCAACGAGCGCAACCCUUACUGUCAGUUACUACGCAAGAGGACUCUGGCAGGACUGCCGUUGACAAAACGGAGGAAGGUGGGGAUGACGUCAAAUCAUCAUGCCCUUUAUGACUUGGGCUACACACGUACUACAAUGGCGUUAAACAAAGAGAAGCAAGACCGCGAGGUGGAGCAAAACUCAGCAACCACGUCCCAGUUCGGACCGCAGGCUGCAACUCGCCUGCACGAAGUCGGAAUUGCUAGUAAUCGUGGAUCAGCAUGCCACGGUGAAUACGUUCCCGGGCCUUGUACACACCGCCCGUC
rnacentral:rRNA from 1 species